UUUGUAGGCYUGGGUAAUUAACUUUCAAGGGUUAAAACAACCCUCGGUUUGAGGACUUGCUUGUUGGCUGCAGCCAGCUCUCCUUGCGUUAUUAUUAUCCAUGUUCUAUGAUAUCUUUACACAUACACUGCAUGAAUGUCUAGAAUGUUUAUUAUAUUAUAGGACACUGUCCUUGUAAAUCUAAUACAACUUUCAACAACGGAUCUCUUGGCUCUCGCAUCGAUGAAGAACGCAGCGAAAUGCGAUAAGUAAUGUGAAUUGCAGAAUUCAGUGAAUCAUCGAAUCUUUGAACGCACCUUGCGCUCCUUGGUAUUCCGAGGAGCAUGCCUGUUUGAGUGUCAUUAAAUUCUCAACCUUCUCAGUUUUUGUUAGCUGGGUUUUUAAGGCUUGGAUUAUGGGGGUUGCAGGCUUUCCAAGAAGUCAGCUCCCCUUAAAUGUAUUAGCAAAACAACUGUUGCUUGACCAUCCCUGGUGUGAUAAUUAUCAACGCCAUUGAGAAACAUCAACACUUUGCUUCUAAUAGUCUUAUUAUUGAGACAACUUACUUGACAAUUGACCUCAAAUCA
rnacentral:rRNA from 1 species